rnacentral:rRNA from 1 species
UACGGGGGGGGGCAAGCGUUGUUCGGAAUUACUGGGCGUAAAGGGCUCGUAGGCGGCCAACUAAGUCAUACGUGAAAUCCCUCGGCUUAACCGGGGAACUGCGUCUGAUACUGGAUGGCUUGAGAUUGGGAGAGGGAUGCGGAAUUCCAGGUGUAGCGGUGAAAUGCGUAGAUAUCUGGAGGAACACCGGUGGCGAAGGCGGCAUCCUGGACCGACAUUGACGCUGAGGCGCGAAAGCCAGGGGAGCAAACGGG